CAAAAGUUUUCAUUACCAACUAUAGUAAUAACGUACAAUCACAUACAAAAAUUUGUUUCACACAAUUGACAAGAGCCUAUAUAGAGUAGAUAGAAGCCAACAGAAAGCCCUUUGCAAGAUGAGCAGCUUAUUGGAGUUUGACCUCCAUAAUUGUUGCAAGAAAAAUAAUAACUCCUAGUGUUAGACAAUAGGGCUUUAAGAUCUACUCCGUAUUUGUUGUCUUCUUGACGACAACUCCAUUUAAUACUAGGGCCAGUAGCUGAAUCGACACAUGCUUUCCAUCCUUGGUUGGCCAGAGGCCCCCAUAGAGCAGCUUUUUGUUCAUCUGACUAAAAAUGAAUAAAGCAAAUGAGCACAUGAAGUUUUUACCAUACAAAAUUC
rnacentral:lncRNA from 1 species